rnacentral:rRNA from 1 species
UUGGAGGGCAAGUCUGGUGCCAGCAGCCGCGGUAAUUCCAGCUCCAAUAGCGUAUAUUAAAGUUGUUGCAGUUAAAAAGCUCGUAGUUGAAUUUCGGGAUCAAUGUUUCGGUCAUGCCGUUGGUAUGUACUGAUAUUAUUGAUUUCUCACCUUCUAAAGAACCGUAAUGCCAUUAAUUUGGUGUCACGGGGAAUUAGGACUGUUACCUUGAAAAAAUUAGAGUGUUUAAAGCAGGCUCACGCUUGAAUACAUUAGCAUGGAAUAAUGAAA